UUUAAUUGAAGCUAAAAUAUGAGCAUCUUAUUGUUAAUAAGAAAUAUGAAGAAAAUUCCAAUUAAAA
rnacentral:tRNA from 1 species